AUUGAACGCUGGCGGCAGGCCUAACACAUGCAAGUCGAGCGGAGCGGCGGACGGGUGAGUAAUGCCUAUGAAUCUGCCUGGAAGUUGGGGAUAAAGUUCGGUAACGGGCGCUAAUACCGCAUACUACCAGAUGAGCCUAGGUCGGAUUAGCUAGUUGGUGGGGUAAAGGCCUACCAAGGCGACGAUCCGUAACUGGUCUGAGAGGAUGAUCAGUCACACUGGGACUGAGACACGGUCCAGACUCCUACGGGAGGCAGCAGUGGGGAAUAUUGGACAAUGGGCGAAAGCCUGAUGCAGCCAUGCCGCGUGUAUGAAGAAGGUCUUAGGAUUGUAAAGCACUUUAAGUUGGGAGGCGUUACCAACAGAAUAAGCACCGGCUAACUUCGUGCCAGCAGCCGCGGUAAUUC
rnacentral:rRNA from 1 species